rnacentral:misc_RNA from 1 species
UCCGGUUUGUCACCGGCAGUCAACCUAGAGUGCCCACCAUGAUGUGCUGGCAACUAAGUUCAAGGGUUGCGCUCGUUGCGGGACUUAACCCAACAUCUCACGACACGAGCUGACGACAACCAUGCACCACCUGUCUCCUCUGUCCCGAAGGCCGCCUCUAUCUCUAGAGGAUUCAGAGGGAUGUCAAGACCUGGUAAGGUUCUUCGCGUUGCUUCGAAUUAAACCACAUACUCCACCGCUUGUGCGGGUCCCCGUCAAUUACUUUGAGUUUCAACCUUGCGGCCGUACUCCCCAGGCGGUCAACUUCACGCGUUAGCUUCGUUACUGAGUCAGUGAAGACCCAACAACCAGUUGACAUCGUUUAGGGCGUGGACUAC